rnacentral:pre_miRNA from 7 species
UUCUCCUAAGGAUGACAGUGAAAGACCCCCGAAGGGAGACCCUCACUCAGACACUCAAGUCCCGGGACAGCCGCGUACCCAAGAAGACACUGAGACCA